UACGAAGGAUGCAAGCGUUAUCCGGAAUGAUUGGGCGUAAAGGGUCCGCAGGUGGCAGUGUAAGUCUGCUGUCAAAGAAUGAGGCUUAACCUUAUCAAGGCAGUGGAAACUACACAGCUAGAGUACGGUCGGGGUAGAAGGAAUUCCUGGUGUAGCGGUGAAAUGCGUAGAGAUCAGGAAGAACACCGGUGGCGAAAGCGUUCUGCUAGACCUGUACUGACACUGAGGGACGAAAGCUAGGGGAGCGAAUGGG
rnacentral:rRNA from 1 species